rnacentral:rRNA from 1 species
GCCGCGGUAAUACGAAGGGGGCUAGCGUUGCUCGGAAUCACUGGGCGUAAAGCGUGCGCAGGCGGCUAUGCAAGACAGGUGUGGAAUCCCCGGGCUUAACCUGGGAACUGCACUUGUGACUGCAUGGCUAGAGUGCGUCAGAGGGAGGUGGAAUUCCGCGUGUAGCAGUGAAAUGCGUAGAGAUGCGGAGGAACACCGAUGGCGAAGGCAGCCUCCUGGGAUGACACUGACGCUCAUGCACGAAAGCGUGGGGAGCAAACAG